rnacentral:tRNA from 2 species
GCGGGGGUGCCCGAGCAUGGUCAAAGGGGGCGGACUUAAGAUCCGCUGGAGUAGUCCUGCGCGGGUUCAAAUCCCGCCCCCCGCA